rnacentral:rRNA from 1 species
UGGGGAAUAUUGUACAAUGGGCGCAAGCCUGAUCCAGCCAUGCCGCGUGUGUGAAGAAGGCCUUUUGGUUGUAAAGCACUUUAAUCGAGGAGGAGGCUACUUGGAUUAAUACUCUAGGAUAGUGGACGUUACUCGCAGAAUAAGCACCGGCUAACUCUGUGCCAGCAGCCGCGGUAAUACAGAGGGUGCGAGCGUUAAUCGGAUUUACUGGGCGUAAAGCGUGCGUAGGCGGCUUUUUAAGUCGGAUGUGAAAUCCCUGAGCUUAACUUAGGAAUUGCAUUAGAUACAGGGAAGCUAGAGUAUGGGAGAGGAUGGUAGAAUUCCAGGUGUAGCGGUGAAAUGCGUAGAGAUCUGGAGGAAUACCGAUGGCGAAGGCAGCCAUCUGGCCUAAUACUGACGCUGAGGUACGAAAGCAUGGGGAGAAAACAGG